AGGACGAACGCUGGCGGCGUGCUUAACACAUGCAAGUGGAGCGACGAACCAGGCUUCGGCCUGGGGCAGAGCCGCGAACGGGUGAGUAACACGUGGGUAACGUGCCCCGAUGACUGGGACAACCCGGGGGAAACCCGGGCUAAUACCGGAUAUCGCCCCCUCACGCGAGUGAGGUGUAGUAAAGGAGCUUCGGCCUCCGCAGUCGGGAUCGGCCCGCGGCCCAUUAGCUUGUUGGUGAGGUAACGGCUCACCAAGGCUGCGAGUGGGUAGCUGGUCUGGAGAGGACGAU
rnacentral:rRNA from 1 species